rnacentral:rRNA from 1 species
UACGUAGGGGGCGAGCGUUGUCCGGAAUCAUUGGGCGUAAAGAGCUCGUAGGCGGUUCAGUAAGUCAGGUGUGAAAGCUCCGAGCUCAACUCGGAGAGGCCACCUGAUACUGCUGUGACUAGAAUCCAGUAGGGGAGUGUGGAACUCCUGGUGUAGCGGUGAAAUGCGCAGAUAUCAGGAAGAACACCAGCGGCGAAGGCGGCACUCUGGGCUGGAAUUGACGCUGAGGAGCGAAAGUGUGGGUAGCGAAACAGG